GACGGGACCGCACAAGCGGUGGAUGAUGUGGAUUAAUUCGAUGCAACGCGAAAACCUUACCUACCCUUGACAUGUCUGGAACCUUGCUGAGAGGCGAGGGUGCCUUCGGGAGCCAGAACACAGGUGCUGCAUGGCUGUCGUCAGCUCGUGUCGUGAGAUGUUGGGUUAAGUCCCGCAACGAGCGCAACCCUUGUCAUUAGUUGCCAUCAUUUAGUUGGGCACUCUAAUGAGACCGCCGGUGUCAAACCGGAGGAAGGUGGGGAUGACGUCAAGUCCUCAUGGCCUUUAUGACCAGGGCUACACACGUACUACAAUGGCCGGUACAAAGGGCAGCCACUUAGCGAUAAGGAGCCAAUCCCGUAAAGCCGGUCUCAGUCCGGAUUGGAGUCUGCAACUCGACUCCAUGAAGUUGGAAUCGCUAGUAAUCGCAGAUCAGCACGCUGCGGUGAAUACGUUCCCGGGCCUU
rnacentral:rRNA from 1 species